ACCAAGAGUGAUCAACUGACCCGGGCAGCCAGAAGAGAUGAUAGGGAUACAUAUUCUUAACGGUGAUAGAGUGGUUUCAUAGAACAAAAUAGGCUGUUCCUGCCCGAGGGAACAUGGACUUCAGUGGAAGAGACACUCAGAAGAGAGCUGCGAAACAAGUAAGAAUUUCAGAUUGUGCUCAGUUCUUUGAAGAAAAACACAUGGGAUAAGUGAGAGACGUGUGACUCUGGGGGCAGAGGCUGUGUGGUCAGGAGGGGGCCCGUCAGUCAAAAGGCCUUGGUUGCCAAGCCAUUGAAACUCCUUCUGCGUCAUGUUGGGCAGAUUACAAUGUAGAUGAUUCCGUAGCUGGGCUGCAGCACCAUCCCUGGAGAGCACAUGACAGGAAUGCAUGUUGGGCAGGAUGUGAAGCUGAGCCCUGGGCUGAAGCAAACUUAACCCCACCUGCGGACAGGACACUUCUGAAGCCGCUGCCUCGGCUUCCACCAGAAGCUGCAUCUCUGUGCUGCUAGAGAUGGAGAGCCCUGUCUUAGCUGGUUCAGUCGGGGCUGAGUAUUCAGCAGCUAAAGCUGCAUGUACUGUGACCUUCUGAGCCAAAGGCAGGGAAAGAUGCUCUCUAAUCCAUCUGGAAGUGAUUUUGGUAUGUGGUAUGUAAAGUAUUUAAAAAAAACAUAUAGUUUGAGUAAAACUGUUGGUGGUAGGCUAAAAGCUCCUUAAAAACAGGAAGCAUGACUGAAUCACUCUGGUUUCCUCCACUUUCCCAGACAGAAGAGUCACCAACGCAGCCUCCUUGCUCAGGCUGCGCUGCCCCAACUACAGUCAGGGACCCCCCCGCCUUCCCUCUGCUGGGAGGCACCAGCCACCUGUGACUAGUGUCCUGACACCUCCCAUGUCCCCAGCAGACACCUGCCACAGCUGCGUUCGGGGAGAACCCGAGCAAUUAGCCAGCAGCGCCCCCUGGCGCCUCUUUCACCGCAAAUGUUCGGCUCUCAACUUGUUCAACCACCCUCCACCCGCUCCACGGGCAACUUUUCCGGGAAGGCGCCUCCAAAGACCUCUGUGAGUAGCGUAGGCUGCUCUGCUCUGACAACCUCUUCGGGGUAAAUUUCUUUUCCAUUUGAACAGCUUCUCCUUAGUUAAGGAGAAACCGUUAUUGCCCGGUUGCUUUUUCGUCUUUUGGAUGGAGAGAAGCAGAGGAAUUCUGGGCGGAGGCCAACGAUUAGCUGCAACAUCUACUGAUCACUUCCAUGAAGUCUUUGAGCCUUUGUAUAAAUAAAACACCAGCCGGGGGCUCCUUCUGCUCCCAUUGAUGCCCGAGUGCCAACUACAGGUUUGACUCUGAGACCCUCCUUAAAAAAUUAGGAAAAAAAAUUUUUUAAACGUUUUUAAAUUGGAUUUUUAUUGCCUAAGGAGGGAUCUGUAAAAUACGUAGAGUGGGAAGAAUGCAGAUAAAUAAGACCUGAAAGUUGUCCUCAAAUAUAUCAAAGCCAUACUGGAUAGUGGACCUGCUGGAGAAUAGAAAAAUAAA
rnacentral:lncRNA from 1 species